GGUUAAGCGACUAAGCGUACACGGUGGAUGCCCCGCAGUCAGAGGCGAUGAAGGACGUGCUAAUCUGCGAUAAGCGUCGGUAAGGUGAUAUGAACCGUUAUAACCGGCGAUUUCCGAAUGGGGAAACCCAGUGUGAUUCGUCACACUAUCAUUAACUGAAUCCAUAGGUUAAUGAGGCGAACCGGGGGAACUGAAACAUCUAAGUACCCCGAGGAAAAGAAAUCAACCGAGAUUCCCCCAGUAGCGGCGAGCGAACGGGGAGCAGCCCAGAGCCUGAAUCAGUGUGUGUGUUAGUGGAAGCGUCUGGAAAGGCGCGCGAUACAGGGUGACAGCCCCGUACACAAAAAUGCACAUGCUGUGAGCUCGAUGAGUAGGGCGGGACACGUGGUAUCCUGUCUGAAUAUGGGGGGACCAUCCUCCAAGGCUAAAUACUCCUGACUGACCGAUAGUGAACCAGUACCGUGAGGGAAAGGCGAAAAGAACCCCGGCGAGGGGAGUGAAAAAGAACCUGAAACCGUGUACGUACAAGCAGUGGGAGCACGCUUAGGCGUGUGACUGCGUACCUUUUGUAUAAUGGGUCAGCGACUUAUAUUCUGUAGCAAGGUUAACCGAAUAGGGAGCCGAAGGGAAACCGAGUCUUAACUGGGCGUUAAGUUGCAGGGUAUAGACCCGAAACCCGGUGAUCUAGCCAUGGGCAGGUUGAAGGUUGGGUAACACUAACUGGAGGACCGAACCGACUAAUGUUGAAAAAUUAGCGGAUGACUUGUGGCUGGGGGUGAAAGGCCAAUCAAACCGGGAGAUAGCUGGUUCUCCCCGAAAGCUAUUUAGGUAGCGCCUCGUGAAUUCAUCUCCGGGGUAGAGCACUGUUUCGGCAAGGGGUCAUCCCGACUUACCAACCCGAUGCAAACUGCGAAUACCGGAGAAUGUUAUCACGGGAGACACACGGCGGGUGCUAACGUCCGUCGUGAAGAGGGAAACAACCCAGACCGCCAGCUAAGGUCCCAAAGUCAUGGUUAAGUGGGAAACGAUGUGGGAAGGCCCAGACAGCCAGGAUGUUGGCUUAGAAGCAGCCAUCAUUUAAAGAAAGCGUAAUAGCUCACUGGUCGAGUCGGCCUGCGCGGAAGAUGUAACGGGGCUAAACCAUGCACCGAAGCUGCGGCAGCGACGCUUAUGCGUUGUUGGGUAGGGGAGCGUUCUGUAAGCCUGCGAAGGUGUGCUGUGAGGCAUGCUGGAGGUAUCAGAAGUGCGAAUGCUGACAUAAGUAACGAUAAAGCGGGUGAAAAGCCCGCUCGCCGGAAGACCAAGGGUUCCUGUCCAACGUUAAUCGGGGCAGGGUGAGUCGACCCCUAAGGCGAGGCCGAAAGGCGUAGUCGAUGGGAAACAGGUUAAUAUUCCUGUACUUGGUGUUACUGCGAAGGGGGACGGAGAAGGCUAUGUUGGCCGGGCGACGGUUGUCCCGGUUUAAGCGUGUAGGCUGGUUUUCCGGCAAAUCCGGAAAAUCAAGGCUGAGGCGUGAUGACGAGGCACUACGGUGCUGAAGCAACAAAUGCCCUGCUUCCGGAAAGCCUCUAAGCAUCAGGUAACAUCAAAUCGUACCCCAAACCGACACAGGUGGUCAGGUAGAGAAUACCAAGGCGCUUGAGAGAACUCGGGUGAAGGAACUAGGCAAAAUGGUGCCGUAACUUCGGGAGAAGGCACGCUGAUAUGUAGGUGAAGUCCCUCGCGGAUGGAGCUGAAAUCAGUCGAAGAUACCAGCUGGCUGCAACUGUUUAUUAAAAACACAGCACUGUGCAAACACGAAAGUGGACGUAUACGGUGUGACGCCUGCCCGGUGCCGGAAGGUUAAUUGAUGGGGUCAGCGCAAGCGAAGCUCUUGAUCGAAGCCCCGGUAAACGGCGGCCGUAACUAUAACGGUCCUAAGGUAGCGAAAUUCCUUGUCGGGUAAGUUCCGACCUGCACGAAUGGCGUAAUGAUGGCGGGCUGUCUCCACCCGAGACUCAGUGAAAUUGAACUCGCUGUGAAGAUGCAGUGUACCCGCGGCAAGACGGAAAGACCCCGUGAACCUUUACUAUAGCUUGACACUGAACAUUGAGCCUUGAUGUGUAGGAUAGGUGGGAGGCUUUGAAGUGUGGACGCCAGUCUGCAUGGAGCCGACCUUGAAAUACCACCCUUUAAUGUUUGAUGUUCUAACGUGGACCCGUGAUCCGGGUUGCGGACAGUGUCUGGUGGGUAGUUUGACUGGGGCGGUCUCCUCCUAAAGAGUAACGGAGGAGCACGAAGGUUGGCUAAUCUGGUCGGACAUCAGGAGGUUAGUGCAAUGGCAUAAGCCAGCUUGACUGCGAGCGUGACGGCGCGAGCAGGUGCGAAAGCAGGUCAUAGUGAUCCGGUGGUUCUGAAUGGAAGGGCCAUCGCUCAACGGAUAAAAGGUACUCCGGGGAUAACAGGCUGAUACCGCCCAAGAGUUCAUAUCGACGGCGGUGUUUGGCACCUCGAUGUCGGCUCAUCACAUCCUGGGGCUGAAGUAGGUCCCAAGGGUAUGGCUGUUCGCCAUUUAAAGUGGUACGCGAGCUGGGUUUAGAACGUCGUGAGACAGUUCGGUCCCUAUCUGCCGUGGGCGCUGGAGAACUGAGGGGGCUGCUCCUAGUACGAGAGGACCGGAGUGGACGCAUCACUGGUGUUCGGGUUGUCAUGCCAAUGGCACUGCCCGGUAGCUAAAUGCGGAAGAGAUAAGUGCUGAAAGCAUCUAAGCACGAAACUUGCCCCGAGAUGAGUUCUCCCUGACUCCUUGAGAGUCCUGAAGGAACGUUGAAGACGACGACGUUGAUAGGCCGGGUGUGUAAGCGCAGCGAUGCGUUGAGCUAACCGGUACUAAUGAACCGUGAGGCUUAACCUU
rnacentral:rRNA from 1 species